GGAGAUUUAGCUCAGUGGUAGAGUGCUUGCCUAGCAAGCGCAAGGCCCUGGGUUCGGUUCUCAGCUCCG
rnacentral:tRNA from 1 species